GACGAACGCUGGCGGCGUGCCUAACACAUGCAAGUAGAACGGUGAAGGAGUAGCUGGCUUCUCUGGAUGAGUUGCGGACGGGUGAGUAACGCGUAGGCAACCUACCUGGUAGCGGGGGAGAACUAUAGGAAGCGAUAGUUAAUACCGUAUAAUAGCAGUUCUUGGAUGAUAACUGUGUGAAAGUUGGAAUUUGACCGCUACCAGAUGCACCUGCCUUGUUUUAGCGAGUUGGGGGGGUAACGGCUCACCAAGGCGGCGAUACAUAGACGAUCUGAGAGGGUGAUCGGCCACACUGGGACUGAGACACGGCCCAGACUCCUACGGGAGGCAGCAGUAGGGAAUCUUCGGCAAUGGACGGAAGUCUGACCGAGCACCGCCGCGUGAGUGAAGAAGGGUUUCGGAUCGUAAAGCUCUGUUGUAAGAGAAGAACGAGUGUGAGGGUGGAAAGUCCACACUGUGACGGUACCUUAAGAGUAAGCACCGGCUAACUACGUG
rnacentral:rRNA from 1 species